UCUUAAAAAUACGAAACUAUAAUAGAUAAAUAGGAAAAAGUUUUUAACAUUGAAUUUCCAAUUUCGAAAGGGAAAACGAAUAAUGUCUAGCAGUACGAAUACAAAACGUAUUGUUUAUGUGGGUGGUUUAGCUGAGGAGGUAGAUGAAAAACUUUUACAGUCAGCAUUUAUCCCUUUUGGUGACAUUACAGAUAUAAAUAUACCUUUAGAUUAUGAAACAGAAAAGCAUAGAGGUUUUGCAUUUAUUGAAUUUGAAUUAGCAGAGGAUGCUGCUGCAGCUAUUGAUAAUUUAAAUGAUUCAGAAUUAUUUGGGAGAGCCAUAAGAUGUAAUUUAGCUAAGCCAAUGAGAAUAAAGGAGGGAGCAACAAGAGCAGUAUGGUCAGAAGAUUCAUGGCUGCAGGAGCAUGCUGGAAAAACAUUAGAAAAAUCAGCAGAGGAAGUUGAAGAAGAUAAAGGAACAAAACGACCUGCUGAGGACACAGAUUUGAGUUCAUCACCAGCCAAAAGAAGUAAAGGAAAUCCACAAGUGUUCUUUGAUAUCAAUGUAAACAAUAAAGAUGUUGGUAGAAUUUCUAUAGAGCUGAGGGCUGAUGUUGUUCCAGUCACAGCUGAAAACUUCAGAUGUUUAUGUACUCAUGAGAAAGGAUUUGGAUACAAAGGAUCCAGUUUCCACAGAGUUAUACCACAAUUUAUGUGUCAGGGAGGAGAUUUUACAAACCAUAAUGGUACAGGUGGAAAGUCCAUAUAUGGUAAAAAAUUUGAGGAUGAAAAUUUUAUAUUAAAACAUACAGCACCUGGGACAAUGUCAAUGGCAAACUCUGGUCCUAACACAAAUGGUUCACAAUUCUUCAUGUUUACUAUUGUAGGGACAAUGUCAAUGGCAAACUCUGGUCCUAACACAAAUGGUUCACAAUUCUUCAUGUUUUACUAUUGUAGGGACAAUGUCAAUGGCAAACUCUGGUCCCAACACAAAUGGUUCACAAUUCUUUAUAUGUACAGAGAAAACAGAUUGGUUGGAUGGUAAACAUGUAGUAUUUGGGAAAGUAAUGCAAGGCAUGGAUGUUGUAAGAAAAAUGGAGGCCUGUGGCAGCAAAGGAGGGACAGUAUCAAAGAAAAUUAAAAUAGCUAACUGUGGUGAACUUGUGUGACAGAUCAUUCUAUUGUUUAUGUACAUAUGUUUUAUAAAAAAAAAAACUCAAGAUUAACAUUGUUUUUAAUAUAUCUACAUAUGAUAUUAGGCAGUACUCUUGUUACAAUACCUUGUCCUUAUAGAGACUUUGAGCUUUAGAAAAAAAAACAUUGUUAUUUGGAUGGAAAGUUGUCUCAUUGGCACUCAUACCACAUCUUCCUAUAUCUAUAUACAUUAAAUAAUACAAUGUAGUGGGUAAAAAAUGUUUAUAACAACCAAAACCGUUUUCAUGGUUACAUAAGUUGGCUUUUUUAGUAAAAAAAAAAUACACUGGGCUAUUGAUAGUCUUAAUCAGCAGUGGCAUGUCAUUAUGCUAAUCACUGUAUUAAAAUAUGAAAACAUUGUGCUUUAUAUUUUUCAUUUUCUUAUUGUCAAAUUUCGUUGAUGGUAAAAUGUAUGGUAUUAAGGUAAAUUUGAGUGUAUUAUAACCCAAGCAGUUGGGUACAAUGGUUUUUCCUCUGAUGGCUUUUACUGUUGUUGGCAAAUUUUAAUACUUUUUAUACACCCGUUUCACAUAUCGCACUGUAUCUCAACAAAAAUUCUUGAUUAUGACUUAAAACUUUAAACACUUUUGAGUAAUAUUAAUCUUAAUAUCUGUAUACUUUUUGGUGAUGAUUCAAAAUUUAUUUUUGAGUUUUUGAGUAUUUUGUAAAAAAAGGGGAGGUUUUUUUUUACAUGUCGCGCCAUAUUUCAAAAACAAUUUAUGAUUAUUGCUUAAAACUUUACACAUGUCUUUGUUAUAUUUAUC